rnacentral:rRNA from 1 species
CCCUUAGAUGUUCUGGGCUGCACGCGCGCUACACUGAAGCUAUCAACACGUUUUCCCUCCCUGAGAAGGGCGGGUAACCUUUUGAAUCAGCUUCGUGGUAGGGAUCGGGGCUUGCAAUUGUUCCCCGUGAACCAGGAAUUCCUAGUAGACGCGAGUCAUAAGCUCGCUUCGAUUAAGUCCCUGCCCUUUGUACACACCGCCCGUCGCUACUACCGAUUGAACGUUUUAGUGAGGCAUUUGGACCGACGCAUCUCAGUUUAACCGCUGGUUUGUGUUGGAAAGACUUCCAAACUUGAGCGUUUAGAGGAAGUAAAAGUCGUAACA